AUGGUCACGCCACGUUGAAACAUCAGUUCCCAUACGAUCACCGGAACUAAGCAACGUUGAGCUUAGCCAUUACCUAGAUGGGUGACCAUUUGGGAAUACCAUGUGCUGUAU